GAGGACCUAGGUUUGUACCAUUCUGAGGAUGUUCAGACUGUGGACCUCUCAGAGUAGCCACUACUAAUAGCAGUUCUUCUUCUUCAAUGAAUCAGGGCUAGUCUAUGUGAACAACAGUGUAUGGCAGAGGUUACAGUGGUUGACUUCCAAGGCAUGUGAGAUCUGAGUUCCCCAACCAGGGAUGGAACCCUUGCCCACCUGCAUUGGAAGCGCAGAGUCUUAACCACUGGACCGCCAGAGAAGUCCUCAUGAAGACUCUUAAGCUGCUCUGUGGAAAGGCCCACAAGAGGAGGAACUGAGGCCUCUACCACCAUCCAGGACCAACUUGCCAGCCAAGUGAGUUAAGUCAUUGAAGGUGGACCUUCCAGCCCCAUUCAAGCCUUCAGAUGACUGCAGCCCCAGCUGACAUUUGACUGAGCCUCAUGAGGACACCCUAUCCAGAACUACCUAGCCAAGUGGCUCCCAUAUUCCCAGCCCAUAG